ACAUCUGGGUUGUCAUUUGGACAGCUGAAAAUGUUAGCUCUAAGGGGAAAUAUCUGCAUCAGUCCUGCGCACCUUGGUAUCUCUGAAGCCCAGCAUAUGACACGUGAUCAACAAACACAGCUAAAUGAAUAAUAAGUGAAUGAACAGAAGUUAAUGCCAAUUGGAAAAAUCCAGUCAUGGGAGACCAGGCUCCCUAGACGUGAACUUUGGUGAACUUCAUACAAGUUCAAUGUAACCAAACCCGAAAUUCCAGA